ACGCCUCCUGGCCGAAUUGAACGUUCAGGUCCCUCAUCUCCGUGGAGGUCUUGAAUUCCUCUACCGCAAGGACCCUAGCCUCCGAGACCAGGACUGGAAUCUGCUCAGCCAAGUUGGCGACCUCGGCCUCCGCCUUUCUCACCGUCUCCUCCAAGGUCUGCUUCUCCUCCUCCCGGGCUUAUUUCUCUCUUUCCAGGGCCUCUUGGAGGGCGACUACUUCAGCUACCUUUU
rnacentral:lncRNA from 1 species